AUGCAUUUUGGUGUUUGAUCCGACUGAGAGGGUUUAGCAGUGAUCUGUCGCGAAAGUGGGGUCAGCUGUGAUCGCGCAACGGAGGCCGCCAUUAAUCAACGCGUGAGACAGCGAGACUCAGCCACGGGUGACUUGCCAGACGAAAAUAUAUAUGUGUGUAUAUAUAAUAAGGCCGGGCGCUGUUUGAAAACAAAGGAAUGUAGGGUACAGUGUGAGUGGGUCCAUUUUUAUUUUAUUUUUUCAGAAUAGAUUUUUUGGGACUGUAGUGUCUGCGAUGAAUAAUAAAUAAUACGAGGUUGUUGAAUUUUAUCUUUUCCUAUAAUUCGUUUCUUUUACCGUUUCUGUGCGCUUGGUGGCUUUUUGUAUCACCAACUUUACCCGA
rnacentral:lncRNA from 1 species